ACUCCUGCGGGAGGCAGCAGUGGGGAAUUUUGGACAAUGGGCGAAAGCCUGAUCCAGCAAUGCCGCGUGAGUGAAGAAGGCCUUCGGGUUGUAAAGCUCUUUUGUCAGGGAAGAAACGGUGAAAGCUAAUAUCUUUUGCUAAUGACGGUACCUGAAGAAUAAGCACCGGCUAACUACGUGCCAGCAGCCGCGGUAAUACGUAGGGUGCAAGCGUUAAUCGGAAUUACUGGGCGUAAAGCGUGCGCAGGCGGUUUUGUAAGUCUGAUGUGAAAUCCCCGGGCUCAACCUGGGAAUUGCAUUGGAGACUGCGAGGCUAGAAUCUGGCAGAGGGGGGUAGGAUUCCACGUGUAGCAGUGAAAUGCGUAGAUAUGUGGAGGAACACCGAUGGCGAAGGCAGCCCCCUGGGUCAAGAUUGACGCUCAUGCACGAAAGCGUGGGGAGCAAACAGGAUUAGAAACCCCAGUAGUCCCA
rnacentral:rRNA from 1 species